UUUGUGCCAUGAAACCCUGGGCACUGCUGGGGAGAAUUAGACGGUGCAGACACUGUGGCAGAUCCCACACAUUGAACAGCAUGAUCAUACGACACAAUUCCACUUUUGGGAAUUGGAAUAUGACCCAGUUUCGCUCCGGGUGUACCCACAAAGGAAUGAAAGCAGGGACUUGAACAGGUGUUUGUACAUCCAUGUUCACAGCAGCACUGUUCACAAGAGCCCAAAGGUGGGAGCAACCCAAGCAUCUAUCAGCAGAUGAGCAGAUAAACAAAACGUGGUCCAUCCACAUGGUGGAAAAAAGGGAGACAUCCUGACACAGUUUACACCGAGGAUGAACCCAGGUUUUACAAGAUGAAGAGUUCUGGGGAUGAAUGGUGACGGUUGUACAACAGCGUGAAUAUACCGAAUGCCACUCAACAGGGCACUCGAAAAUGUUUAAGGUGGCUCUAGGGUGCACAGGCUCUGUUCUUCCGUGGCAUGUGGGAUCUUCCUGGACCAGGGAUUGAACCUGUAUCUCCUGCAUUGGCAGGCAGAUUCUUUACCACUGAGCCAGCAGGGAAGCCCCUCUAAGUAUCUUAAUAAUAACAAUUGCAAGGCAGUAUCCUUUUGUCGUGGGGUUGAGGGAGAGGGCAGUGCAUGCUGGCUUUCCUUACAUCCAU